rnacentral:tRNA from 1 species
GACAGUUUGGCCGAGUAGUCUAAGGUGCCAGAUUUAGGCUCUGGUCCGAAAGGGCGUGGGUUCAAAUCCCACAGGUGUCA